CACGUAGGGCGCAAGCGUUGUCCGGAAUUAUUGGGCGUAAAGAGCUCGUAGGCGGUCUGUUGCGUCUGCUGUGAAAACCCGGGGCUUAACCCCUGGCUUGCAGUGGAUACGGACAGACUAGAGGUAGGUAGGGGAGAAUGGAAUUCCCGGUGUAGCGGUGAAAUGCGCAGAUAUCGGGAGGAACACCGGUGGCGAAGGCGGUUCUCUGGGCCUUACCUGACGCUCAGGUGCGAAAGCUAGGGGAGCGAACAGG
rnacentral:rRNA from 1 species